GUGCCAGCCGCCGCGGUAAUACGUAGGUGGCAAGCGUUGUCCGGAUUUAUUGGGUUUAAAGGGUGCGUAGGCGGUUUUAUAAGUCAGUGGUGAAAUACGGCAGCUCAACUGUCGAGGUGCCAUUGAUACUGUAGAACUUGAGUACAGACGAGGUAGGCGGAAUUGACGGUGUAGCGGUGAAAUGCUUAGAUAUCGUCAAGAACACCGAUAGCGAAGGCAGCUUACUAGACUGUAACUGACGCUGAGGCACGAAAGUGUGGGGAUCAAACAGGAUUAGAAACCCUGGUAGUCC
rnacentral:rRNA from 1 species